AGCUGCACCCAGGAGAUCUUGGAGGAGAUGUUCUGUGGCUUCAACUCUUCUAACUCCCUAGACAAUGAUCAGGUGUACCAGGCAAACAAGGCACAGUGCUGUUCUGAGAGAUCCACACAGGAAAUCUUGGAUGAGUUGCUCCAAGGGUUCAAUUACUCCAUCUACCCCCGAGAAGCACAGGUGCAUCAGGCCACCGACUACAAGAAUGGCCAGUCUGGGCUGAGAACAAGUCCCAUUCAUGGUGAAAGUCAGGACCCAGAGAUGUUCAGGUUGGAUGUUUUUGGAUGACUCCAUGGAAUACUCGUCUUCAUAAAAGCUCUGAGUUGAGAGAAUGCGAGUGUUGCUCAGCUAUUCAUGUGUGUGGAAGUUUCCAAUGCUCUACCCUGCGUCCCAACCAACCAAUGGAAUCAUCCACCCUGACCACAGAUGAGGCCUGGAGCAUGAGGACUCACCGCAAAGGCAGAAUGGAUACUUUUGUACAGUCCCUGCUGCGAUCCUUCCAGAAGAGGAGCCUCUCAGAAAACGCAGUCGUUUUCCGUGUCUACCAGGUGUUCAGCGAAGCCCAAAGGGUCCUGGGCCAGCAGCUCCACAGGAAAAGAAGAGAAAGAGACUGGAACGCUUUGGACUCCUUUGAUAUUCUACAUUAACAUUUCCUCUCCAAGUUUUAUAUAUUAAGUAAAGAUAAUUGCCAAAUUAAAAUAUUUCAGUGCUCUUUCUUAUCACCAAUACAUUCAUAUCUUC
rnacentral:lncRNA from 12 species